rnacentral:rRNA from 1 species
UUUUAUUUGAGAGUUUGAUCCUGGCUCAGGAUGAACGCUGGCGGCGUGCCUAACACAUGCAAGUUGAGCGAUUUACUUCGGUAAAGAGCGGCGGACGGGUGAGUAACGCGUGGGUAACCUACCCUGUACACACGGAUAACAUACCGAAAGGUAUGCUAAUACGGGAUAAUAUAUUUGAGAGGCAUCUCUUGAAUAUCAAAGGUGAGCCAGUACAGGAUGGACCCGCGUCUGAUUAGCUAGUUGGUAAGGUAACGGCUUACCAAGGCGACGAUCAGUAGCCGACCUGAGAGGGUGAUCGGCCACAUUGGAACUGAGACACGGUCCAAACUCCUACGGGAGGCAGCAGUGGGGAAUAUUGCACAAUGGGCGAAAGCCUGAUGCAGCAACGCCGCGUGAGUGAUGAAGGCCUUUGGGGUCGUAAAACUCUGUCCUCAAGGAAGAUAAUGACGGUACUUGAGGAGGAAGCCCCGGCU